rnacentral:rRNA from 1 species
UGCAGUCGAACGGACAGGUCUUCGGAUGCUGACGAGUGGCGAACGGGUGAGUAAUACAUCGGAACGUGCCCGAUCGUGGGGGAUAACGGAGCGAAAGCUUUGCUAAUACCGCAUACGAUCUACGGAUGAAAGCAGGGGACCGCAAGGCCUUGCGCGGACGGAGCGGCCGAUGGCAGAUUAGGUAGUUGGUGGGAUAAAAGCUUACCAAGCCGACGAUCUGUAGCUGGUCUGAGAGGACGACCAGCCACACUGGGACUGAGACACGGCCCAGACUCCUACGGGAGGCAGCAGUGGGGAAUUUUGGACAAUGGGCGAAAGCCUGAUCCAGCCAUGCCGCGUGCAGGAUGAAGGCCUUCGGGUUGUAAACUGCUUUUGUACGGAACGAAAAGACUCCUUCUAAUAAAGGGGGUCCAUGACGGUACCGUAAGAAUAAGCACCGGCUAACUACGUGCCAGCAGCCGCGGUAAUACGUAGGGUGCAAGCGUUAAUCGGAAUUACUGGGCGUAAAGCGUGCGCAGGCGGUUAUAUAAGACAGAUGUGAAAUCCCCGGGCUCAACCUGGGAACUGCAUUUGUGACUGUAUAGCUAGAGUACGGUAGAGGGGGAUGGAAUUCCGCGU